GUGGGGAAUCUUAGACAAUGGGGGAAACCCUGAUCUAGCCAUGCCGCGUGAGCGAUGAAGGCCUUAGGGUUGUAAAGCUCUUUCAGCUGGGAAGAUAAUGACGGUACCAGCAGAAGAAGCCCCGGCUAACUCCGUGCCAGCAGCCGCGGUAAUACGGAGGGGGCUAGCGUUGUUCGGAAUUACUGGGCGUAAAGCGCGCGUAGGCGGACCAGAAAGUUGGAGGUGAAAUCCCAGGGCUCAACCUUGGAACUACCUUCAAAACUCCUGGUCUGGAGUUCGAGAGAGGUGAGUGGAAUUCCGAGUGUAGAGGUGAAAUUCGUAGAUAUUCGGAGGAACACCAGUGGCGAAGGCGGCUCACUGGCUCGAUACUGACGCUGAGGUGCGAAAGCGUGGGGAGCAAACAGGAUUAGAAACCCGGGUAGUCC
rnacentral:rRNA from 1 species